rnacentral:rRNA from 1 species
UACGGGGGGAGCAAGCGUUGUUCGGAUUUACUGGGCGUAAAGGGCGCGUAGGCGGUCAGCACAAGUCAGUUGUGAAAUCUCCGAGCUUAACUCGGAAAGGUCAACUGAUACUGUGCGACUAGAGUGCGGAAGGGGCAACUGGAAUUCUUGGUGUAGCGGUGAAAUACGUAGAUAUCAAGAGGAACACCUGCGGCGAAGGCGGGUUGCUGGGCCGACACUGACGCUGAGGCGCGAAAGCUAGGGGAGCGAACGGG